GACGUAGGGGGCAAGCGUUACCCGGAAUGACUGGGCGUAAAGGGAGCGUAGGCGGGAGGUCAAGUCCGGUGUGAAAGACCCUGGCUCAACCAGGGAUGAGGGCUGGAAACUGACAAUCUUGAGUACAGCAGAGGAAGAGGGAAUUACCGGUGUAGGGGUGAAAUCCGUAGAGACCGGUAAGAAGGCCAGUGGCGAAGGCGCUUUUCUGGGCUGUUACUGACGCUGAGGCUCGAAAGCCAGGGGAGCAAACAGG
rnacentral:rRNA from 1 species